rnacentral:rRNA from 1 species
UACAGAGGGUGCAAGCGUUAAUCGGAAUUACUGGGCGUAAAGCGUGCGUAGACGGUUAUGUAAGCCAGAUGUGAAAUCCCCGGGCUUAACCUGGGAACUGCAUUUGGGACUGCAAGGCUGGAGUACGGCAGAGGGAGGUGGAAUUCCACGUGUAGCAGUGAAAUGCGUAGAGAUGUGGAGGAACACCGAUGGCGAAGGCAGCCUCCUGGGCUAGUACUGACGCUCAUGCACGAAAGCGUGGGGAGCAAACAGG